GCCUCCUUAGCUCAGUUGGUAGAGCGGCGCAUUCGUAAUGCGUAGGUCGUGGGUUCAAGUCCCAUGGGAGGCU
rnacentral:tRNA from 1 species